rnacentral:rRNA from 1 species
CUACGGGGGGCUCCAGUGAGGAAUAUUGCACAAUGGGGGGAACCCUGAUGCAGCAACGCCGCGUGGAGGAUGACGCAUUUCGGUGUGUAAACUCCUUUUAUAUGUCAAGAAAAUGACGGUAGCAUAUGAAUAAGCACCGGCUAACUCCGUGCCAGCAGCCGCGGUAAUACGGAGGGUGCAAGCGUUACUCGGAAUCACUGGGCGUAAAGGACGCGUAGGCGGGCUUGUAAGUCAGGUGUGAAAUCCUACAGCUUAACUGUAGAACUGCACUUGAAACUACGAGCCUAGAGUAUGGGAGGGGCAGAUGGAAUUAGUGGUGUAGGGGUAAAAUCCGUAGAUAUCACUAGGAAUACCUAAAGCGAAGGCGAUCUGCUGGAACAUAACUGACGCUAAGGCGUGAAAGCGUGGGGAGCAAACAGGAUUAGAUACCCUCGUAGUC